rnacentral:rRNA from 1 species
CAGUCGCCACGGUAAAACGGAGGGGGCUAGCGUUGUUCGGAAUUACUGGGCGUAAAGCGCACGUAGGCGGCUUGGUAAGUUAGAGGUGAAAGCCUGGAGCUCAACUCCAGAAUUGCCUUUAAGACUGCCGAGCUAGCAGGUGAGAGAGGUAAGUGGAAUUCCGAGUGUAGAGGUGAAAUUCGUAGAUAUUCGGAAGAACACCAGUGGCGAAGGCGGCUUACUGGCUCAUACUGGACGCUGAGGUGCGAAAGCGUGGGGAGCAAACAGGAUUAGAGACCCCCGUAGUCCCUGUCUCUUAUAC